CCUGGAAGAAAUAAUAUGCAUGAGAGCACAGCAAACGGUGAUCUCCAGAUUUUAUACAUUCCUCCAAUGGAAACUUCAAGGAAAUUUGCGUUCAAGACAGUCUGUUUUCGUGUUUGGACUGGUUUCAAAAUAUAUACUUUUAUUUUAAAUGAUAAUUUGUGGCUAACUCACAUGUCCUCAGAAGUUGCUACUGUCACUGUUCGCCUAGUUCGCUCCUUCGAGCACCGUAAUUUUAAACCUGUUGUGUACCAUGAUGUCAACCUGGAUCAUACUGUUAAAGAGUUUAUUGAAUUUGUGAAGAAGGAUGUGGCAUUAAGGACUGGACUUCCACCUCCUUUUAAAAAAUAUAGAUAUGACAAAAUGAAGAUUAUUCACCAGGCGCAUGGCUCUAAGACCAAUGAACUUGUCGUGAGUUUAGAAGAUGAUGACAAACUAAUUUUGCCAGAGGACAGCACCCUGAGAGCAGCAGGAGUAGCAAAUGAAACAGAGUUAGCAUUUUUCUGCAUGGAUGAUUACAGAAAAUAUAAAGCCAAUCCUGUUGCAACCUGGUGAAGGCUUGAGAGAAGAUUUCUUUUGCCCUCUUGCUUUUGUGAGGUUUUUUUCCAGGGAGGACAUCUGAGGCAUCAGAAAAUAUGGUGAUUUGACUUCUGCCUUGGAUGUGAGGCAAAGUAUGAUAUUAGUCUGUGCCACCAAGCCAACACCCAAUAUUCAAGCCAGUGAGGCAAGUUCCAAGGUGAAUUUUUUUCCGGUGCACAGCCCUAAUAUAUGUUAAGCUAAUUUCCCUUUUUUUCUGUCUGUAAUUUUUUAUUAAUUGUGUCUUGUUUAUAUACAAAUAUAAAUGUCUACUUAAUAGACUUGUUGCUUAAUGGAUUUGUUACAAAUUUGAACUAUGUGAUUGUUCAGGGGGGAAAUGGGAGGGAACUUGAGGAAACAAUGUGUACAAACUUGGAAACUUUUGAAAUAAAGUAUUAUAAAUUAAAAGCUAGUCAUUAGAGCUGAG